AAAAGAACUUUGAAGAGAGAGUUCAAGAGUACGUGAAACCGCCUAGAGGUAAACGGGUGGGCCCGCAUAGUCGGCCCGCGGAAUUCAACUCGUCGCACGUUUUUAGGCCGUCGGCACCCGGGGUCCGUCCCGCGAGAUGCUCGAAAACGCACUCUCCCCGGGGUCGGCCACAGCGUCGGCCUGCGACGCGUGCACUUUCCGCGGGCAGAGCGCCACGAUCGGUUCUCGGGCAGCCAGAAGGCGCGUUCGGAAGGUGGCCGUCGGGGUCCGCGUGCGCGCGGGGUUCAUUCUCCGCCGCCGCAAACCUCGGCGGCUCUUACAGCCGGCGCGUCGUUUACCGGCCUGCCGCGGGGACCGAGGAACGGCCGUCCCCCUUUGAAACCUGGCGUCUCCGGCUCUCCUCGCACGUCUCGACACCGCGGGACUGGGGCAACCGUGCCGCGGGACCGCGUGCGGUUUGGAGCGAUCUAACCGGAGAGUGCGCCAUCGCACGGGGGCUCGGGAUCGGUGGCGAAUCGGUCGGCAACCCACCCGGCCCGUCUUGAAACACGGACCAAGGAGUCUAACAUGUGCGCGAGUCACUGGGCUCGACGAAACCCAAGGGCACAAUGAAAGUGAAAGGUCGUAUUUUGUUCGCAAAAAACGUCCCCAGGUGGGAUCUCUCGUAUUCCGGCAGUGGGCGGGAGCGCACCACCGGCCCGUCUCGUCCGCACCCCGUCGGUGAGGCGGAGCAAGAGCGUACACGUUGGGACCCGAAAGAUGGUGAACUAUGCCCGAGCAGGAUGAAGCCAGAGGAAACUCUGGUGGAAGUCCGCAGCGAUUCUGACGUGCAAAUCGAUCGUCAGACUUGGGUAUAGGGGCGAAAGACUAAUCGAACCAUC
rnacentral:rRNA from 1 species